rnacentral:rRNA from 1 species
UACGAAAGGUGCAAGCGUUACUCGGAAUCACUGGGCGUAAAGCGCACGUAGGCGGACUCGUAGGUCAAUUGUGAAAUACCUGGGCUCAACCCGGGAACUGCAGUUGAAACCGCUUGUCUUGAAUACCUGAGAGGGUGGGGGAAUACCUGGUGGAGAAGUGAAAUUCGUAGAGAUCAGGUGGAACACCGGAGGCGAAGGCGCCUGCCGGGCAGUGUAUUGACGCUGAGGUGCGAAAGUGCGGGGAGCAAACAGG